GGCGAACGCUGGCGGCGCGCCUAGCACAUGCAAGCCGAACGAGCGAGAGAGAGCUUGCUUUCUCGAGCGAGUGGCGAACGGGUGAGUAACGCGUGAGGAACCUGCCUCAAAGAGGGGGGACAACAGUUGGAAACGACUGCUAAUACCGCAUAAGCCCACGACCCGGCAGUCGGGUUGAGGGAAAGGAGCGAUCCGCUUUGAGAUGGCCUCGCGUCCGAUUAGCUAGUUGGUGAGGUAACGGCCCACCAAGGCGACGAUCGGUAGCCGGACUGAGAGGUUGAACGGCCACAUUGGGACUGAGACACGGCCCAG
rnacentral:rRNA from 1 species